GUAGGACUACCCGCUGAACUUAAGCAUAUCAAUAAGCGGAGGAAAAGAAACUAACAAGGAUUCCCCUAGUAACUGCGAGUGAAGCGGGAAAAGCUCAAAUUUAAAAUCUGGCGGUCUUUGGCCGUCCGAGUUGUAGUCUGGAGAAGCGUCUUCCGCGUUGGACCGUGUACAAGUCUCUUGGAACAGAGCGUCAUAGAGGGUGAGAAUCCCGUCUUUGACACGGACUACCAAUGCUUUGUGAUGCGCUCUCAAAGAGUCGCGUUGUUUGGGAAUGCAGCGCAAAAUGGGAGGUGAAUUCCUUCUAAAGCUAAAUAUUGGCGAGAGACCGAUAGCGAACAAGUACCGUGAGGGAAAGAUGAAAAGCACUUUGGAAAGAGAGUUAAACAGUACGUGAAAUUGCUAAAAGGGAAACGCUUGAAGUCAGUCGCGUCGUCCGGAACUCAGCUUUGCUUCGGCUUAGUGCACUUUCCGGUUGACGGGCCAGCAUCGAUUUUGACCGCUGGAAAAGGGCUGGAGGAAUGUGGCACCUUCGGGUGUGUUAUAGCCUUCAGUCGCAUACAGCGGUUGGGAUCGAGGAACGCAGCGCGCCUUAUGGCUGGGGUUCGCCCACAUUCGCGCUUAGGAUGCUGGCAUAAUGGCUUUAAACGACCCGUCUUGAAACACGGACC
rnacentral:rRNA from 1 species